AUGUUCUCCAAGGAUGGUCUUUCCGGCCAGAAGCUUCAGCAUCACCUGGAAACAUUUUAGAAAUGCAAAUUCUUGGGCCCUUAAACCUACUAAAUCAGCAACUCUGCGGGGAGGACCCAGGAAUCUGUGUUUUAACAAGCAUUCGGGGUGAUUCUGAUGCAUGAAUCUGAAUGCAGCUUGGCUGAGUGCCUCAGACUCUGGGUCUCCCAAGAGGUUGUAAUCAAGGUGUCAGCCAGGGCUGCAAUCAUCGCAAGGUCUCUGACCUGUCUUUACUCACAUCUCUGACACCAAGUGUGUGGGAUAUUUUUUCCCACACACCAACCAACUCUCUGGACGCCAAGGCAACUCACCACAUGGUGGCUGGCUUCACCAGAGCAAGCAAACAAGAAGAGCCCAAGAGAAGACUAACAAGCUGGAAGUCACCAUCCUUCCAACCUAAUCUCGGAAGUGACAUCUCAUCACUCUUGCUGUAUUCUAUCAUGUAGAAGCAAGUCACCAGGUCCAGCCCACAUGCAAGGGGAGGGAAGAG